rnacentral:SRP_RNA from 1 species
AGCCAGGCUCUGCGCAUAAGCGAGGUUAUGAACCCCGCGAGGUUCGGAAGAAAGCAGCGGUAGUAACCGAGCUGUAUGCCGCAGUAAGCCUGGCGCCC